CCUAGGCUGCGAAGUCCCUCGGCUUUGUGAUAUAGUGAGAGAUUCCAGUCUUGGAACCCAGAAACAAAAUCCAAAUGAUGUGGCAGUUAGAAUGUAGGUUUAUUGACUAGGAUGCUGAUGGGGUAUUCAUGGGUUUCUAAGGGAUAGAAGCCCUAGAAUGAUGACACCCAGUGCUCCUUUGAUCUGGUAGUUACACACCUUACUGGUCAUAGGUCCACCAACCCAGCAGAAAAGAAAGUACCAAUAAGCUGUUUCCACUCGAUUUCCAGUUACUUCCAUAUGGAAGUUGACUACGUGAAAAUAGACAUAAAUUCCAGUGGUGAGUGCUCAGGACUUAUCUCGCUGGACCUAGCAGCACUUGAUAAGGCUUCUGCCUUCGUCUUCUUGUAAUGUUUCCUACCACCCUGUUUGGAAGCUUGGACAAAACUACUGAAUGAUAAAAGACGCCUUGGAGAGAGAGGCCCAGCUAAUAUCCAGCAUUAAGUCCCUAGAUAUGUGAAGGAGGCCAUCUUAAAACCUCCAACCCCAGACCAACUGCGAGAUAACUGAUGCCUCAUGGGAAAGCCCAGGGAGAUUGCAACAGAUAAAAUCACAACCAAAAUACAGAAGACAGUAAGAUGAGUGAAGUCAAAUCAUGACUUCAUGUUCCAUAUUGGAGAAGUUAUUCUGGUGACUUUUGCACAGACGGCUUAAGCAUUGAUCUCCAGGCAAAGAAUAAAGUAGGAGCAGAAGAUCUGAGUCCAAUGGGAGUAAAACAUAAGGAAUUUUGGGCAGUGCUGAAGAAAGUAGCUUUGAUAUCUUAAGAUUUCCUGGGCCACAGACCAGAGGCAAAUGUUAGACCACCACAGUAACAAAAGUGUGGUGUAGUGGAAAUAACCUAGAUUUCCUGGAAGCCAAGGGUCAAAUAUAUUAAUUCUAAAUUUGCUAGCAACCUGUUCCUUAGCUUCAGCAAAGUUGUUUAUCCUCUCUGUACCUUGAUCUCCUUAACUCCAAAAGAAGAGGAUUUUACAGUCAGUAGCAAAUUUUCGUUCAAGUCCUGGCAAAACAACCUUCUACAAGGCUUGCUUCAUUGAUAGCAGUAACCACCAUUUUGGGCACAAGUAGCUCCAGUGCCCAUUCUUGUACAUCUUUUUGUAAUUCUGAAUAGUGUCAUGGGCUCCUUCUACCCAUCUCAAGAAGAGUCAACUAGUGGAGAAACCUCUAGGAUGAUCCGAUUGAGAUUUUUUGCCAACUUUAUUAUUUCCCAGUAAUUCUAAUUUAAACUAAACCUUGUUAGUAAUUUGAGAUUAAGGUUAGGAAAGAGAGGAGUACAAAUCUUUAUCUGAGUGACUCCAAAUAAUGAUCUACUUUAAAAAAUACUUCGGAGUUGUCAGCCUUGCUUGAAUUGGUGGUAAGUCCAUAGUAUUUAUACUUUGUUUCCUAUUGUGUAGCCAGCACAAGGAUCAACAGACCUGAGCAGGGAAGAGAGUCAACUGGUCACUAGAUGAUCUCUAAGGAACCUCUGAUUUCUUCUAUUUUAGUGGAGAGUGUGAGCGGAAGUGAGUGCUCUGUGUGAAAGAAAAUCAUGGGAUUCAGGACACUACAAAGGCACACUGGGCUUCAGUUGCUGAUCGCUAUUGAUAAGCUGCUUUCCUUUUGCAGAAGUGAGUUAAGCGGACAGCUUCACCCUGUCUUCACUGGGAAGAUCAGAUUUAAACUAUUAUUCUGCCCUUGUUUAAAAGGGAAGAUAUUUGGUAGAGACACAUACAAAGUAUGGCACCUAGAGACCUCAAGUUUUCAGUGUAGACAGAAGAUGGAAGACUGCUAGGAAGCAGUGCCACCAAUGAAUGCAUAACCCUCUUCUCCAACUUAUUACCAAUACUAGGAAUUAUCUAAAUUUUAAUCUUUGCUAAUUUGAUAUUUAAAAAUAUGAUCCAUUUUUU
rnacentral:lncRNA from 1 species